AUGAUAGCAAGAGGAGAGACUUUGUGGAUCCAAUCCCGGGCGCCGAAGGAGCAAACAAAUUUGUGAAUCUCUCAGGCAAAAGAACUCUUGCUUGACG
rnacentral:ncRNA from 1 species